rnacentral:lncRNA from 1 species
UGCAAUUUAAGUGAGUGGCCCCUUUAUUUUAUGACCAUUAAACCCAUUUUACACUAAAAACACACACACAUACACAGUAGAAUUCGGGCAAAAGCUGGGAAGGAGGAAAAAAGGGGAAGGAAAGGAAGAAAAGAAGGGAAAAGAAAAAAAGGGGAAGAUAAGCUAAGUCCUCGAUUUUCUCCUCAAUUUUUCAAGGUAAGCGUAAGUUUUACUUAUUGAAGAAUGAUAUUAGAUUUUAGGGUUCAUGGAAAUUCCUUAAAUUCGAGAUUUAGAAAGAAUUAAAGGUUAUUAGUAGGUAUUUGUGGUCAAAGAAAUAUAUAUUGAAUGAUUAAUGUUUGGAAGGGGGGGGGGGCUUUGAAAAUGGGUUUAUGAAAUAGAGACUUGCUCUUUGAUUUAUUGGGAUUAUAUGAUGUUAAUUACUUAAAUUAAGGAUUUGGGAUUAAUUUCUCCAUUUUUAAGUAAUUAAUAUAAGCCAUUUUGGACAAAAUCCUAUUUAGGCGCUGUUUUUGAAAAUCUGCCUAGAAUAACACUAUUUCUGUCAAAGGUUUUGAUAACAAAUUUUAAUAUAGAAAUUGGUACCAGAUUUUAAUAUUAUGGGAUUUUAGUGCUAUUUUUGUCAAAGUUCUUAUUUUCAGAUUUUUAAAGGUUUGAAUGAAGUUAUAUGACAAAUAUUGAAGUUUAUGCAUUUGACUAAAGUGGAAAUUACAUAAAUCCAAGGGUUUAAACAUCACAAUUCAAACAUCAAGGCUACAGUUUCAUUAUGCAACAAUCAGGUAUUGAUUUAAUAAUUUAAAUAUUAAUUUCUUCCAAUUCAAUUUUCCCAACCCUAAUUUUACGUUUUGUUUUCUCUCUCUACAAUCUCCAUACUCUACCUUCUCUCGAUCAUGAAACACCAUCGUCGACGACAAUUCAUGACGACGACGGUGAUCACGACGGAGGCGACGCUCAAAGGCAUCCUUACCGGUGGCUAUUCUAUUGGUUUUCUCUCUCUUCUCCUCUGCUUCGUGACCACGAAUAGGGUUAUAGUCGAUCUAGGUAGGUUACAACUUACAGGCGGUAGUGGUGGAUUUGACCGGUGGUGGUGUGUGCACUUGUACGGGGUGUUUCUGUUUACAAUUUGGUGGCGGUGGUGCUGCAAAAAUGGUGGUGGCGACGGCAGCGGUCAUCAACUGUGAAUUUGAUUUUUGUAGUGGGUGUGGAGUAGUUUUGGGGUUUGUGUUGAUGGUGGUAAUGGUGCUAGCUGUGGGCGUGAGGUUGCGGUGGUGAUGUGUUUGGUUGGCGAUGGAUUUGGAUGGUGUGUUGUGCGAUGACGUGUCUUGUAUAGUGGUGGACUCUAUACAGCGUGGAUGUAGGUGCGGUGAUGGUGUUUGUAGUCGGCUUUCUUGGUCGGUAUUUUGUUGGAGGUUGUAGUGUUGUGGUGAAGGACACGGUGGCAGUUUUUGUUGGUGAUUUGGUUUAGGCGGUGAUGGUGUGGUUCAGAUGGCAAUGAUGGUAGGUUUGGUGGUGGAGUAUUUGUGACCAACAAUUAAUCUGUGACCUAGUAAUUCGAUCAUUUUAUGAUUAAAAAAUAAUUUGUGAUCAUCAAAUUCAAAAAUACGUGACCUGUGACCUAUAAUAUUUUGGAUUUAUAACCAUUUGUGACCCAUAGUUGUGACUCGUGGCCUAUAAAUUUUUAGAUUUGUGACCAAUGAUAUAAACUGUGACCUAUAAAAUUGAUGAAUAAAUUGUGAUCCGUGACCACGAAAUAAUCUGUGACCUAUCAAAGUUUUGAUUCGUAAUCUCGAAAUAAUUUGUGACCAAUUAAUUUGAAGAUAUGUGAUCAACAAAUAAAUCUGUGACGUAUAAAUAUAUACACGUGAUCAUUAAUUGUAUAAUUGUAAUUUUAUUAUAUUUGAUUAAUAAAUAUUUUUAAUUAAUUAGAUAAAAACCUAAUUUUUGCAUUAGUUAAACUUUAAAUAUGGUUUUUGAACUGUGUAUAGUUAAUACAUGGUUUAUAAAUUUUUAUACACUAAAAGACACAAAUUGUCACCAAGACCAUUAAAGAAAUCUAUAAAUAGUCAUGCAUAGUAAGAAAAAAGCAUAAAAAUUCAAAUAUCUCCCUUCCAAAUAGUCAUUUCCUCUUUGCUCCUUGUUGAACAUCAAGUAUAGUGAGUGUAAGAUAAAAACAAUUUUUAACUAGGUGAGAGAAAUUUGUGGUCAACAAAUUGGCGCCAUAUGUGAGUAGUCAAACCAAAGAUAAUUGAAUUUGGGUAUCUAAGUUGUGGAAUCACCAAAAUCCGUGAGAGGAUAAGUCAAGUUGAGGCAAAUCAGGAGGAAGUGAGUGCACUAGAAAGUGAAGUUGCAGGCCGAUCUAUCUCUCACUCAAUGUCUUCAUCUAUGGAAGAAAAAGUCGAUAGUAAAUAUUAUACAGGAUAUGGCAAAAGCCUCAAAGCAUUGACUGCGAAAAACACUUCUCUGCGUGUGAAAGUAGUAAAUCUAGAAGGUCAAUCUGCCGGACAAAACACGGCAUCAAAAAUCUGCGAGAAAUCAAGUAAUCGAAAUAUAUAGAAGUUGUGAACUUAAUUGUAAUAAUAAUUGAAGUUUUGGGCUUAUUUGCAAUUAUUAUAUAAUUUUCGGUUUAACUGUAAUUGCUAUAAAAAUCAUAGACUUAAUUGCAUUUGUUAUUAAAUUUUAGCACUAGACAUAUAAUUAAACAAAACAUUUACCAGCUGGAUCCGGAGUUUAAUAAGAACUCAUAUGAAGAUUUUAAUUAAGACUCAUAUUCCGACUUUCCUUAUUGUUAAUGGAUUGAAUUUUUUUUUUUUUUUAUCUUUAUAAAUAGAGACUGGAUGGAACUAAGAAAUCCUUCAACACUUUACAAUAUUUCUUCUACUUUGUUCUAAUUUGAAGAGAGAAAGAUUAUUUACUUCUUUUAUUCCUCUGUACAAUCUUAAAUUAGUUUUAUUAUUUAAUAAAAUGAAGGUGUCUACCUACCCUUAGAGUCUUAUUUUAGAGAAUAUUAUAGAAGAGUUGAAGGUUUAUAGCAUCAAGUUCUUGAAAUUAAAAUUUGGAAACUCACGAUUCAAAAUGUUGGAAGCUCGUAAUUUACAUCCAAUACAAGAAUUAAUCAUUGAAUUUAGGUAGAACAUUCAAAUAAUUUAUUCUUUCUAUAACAUACAUGUGAACAUCUAGACGAUUUUGUUUCUUGCAUCACUUCUUCGACUAGUUCUACAAAAAAUAUCUGCAGUGAGGUUCAUCCAAAGAUUCUGUUGGCAGUUCCAAUAUUCCUGCCUAGCAGUUUAUAAAAGGGAAAAAUUGCAACAGAAGUUCCAAAUCUGUAAAACACUUGCAGACUUUUCCCAAACCUUUGAUUUGUGGCAGCCGUCACCUCUAACCUUUACAUUCGUUGUAGCGAAGGCCCUUUUGGAUGGAAACCGUCCAAAUGUCUAUCAGUUGAUCGUUCAAAUAAAAAAUUGAGCACUUUUAACCAAAAUAGAGGAGGGUAAAAUCGUCCAAACACUUAAAAUACCAAAUUCUAAAUGGCCCCACCAUUUGCAGCAACCUCCUCAAACUCCUCAUUCAAAUUAUGGCUUUCUUUAAUGGGAGUUUUUGUGGGAGUCUUAUAUAAACUCUCCUCUGCAUCCUCCCACAUCGAAUCAUCUGCCUCCUCUGGUUUCGCCCACCUAGAAAAUCCUUCCCAUAAACCUUCACUUUAUUCGCAUCGUACCCAUAGGUAUUCUCAAACAAAUACUCCUGAUAUUUCCUAACGAAACUCUCAUACUCUUCUGGGCUAAAGAACUUAAUUGCCCAAACCCCAUUUGCCACGAAAUCGACACGCUUCUAGUCUUUAAAUGCCUUGAACUAUAAAUCUUGAUCCACUUUCACCCUGACUUUUGACCCGAUUUUCAAGUCCCAGCAAGAAGUCGGGUUAGAUUCUUCAUUUUCUUCAUCCUCUUCGUCAUCUUCUGAGCCAGAUUUAACGAAAGAGUAAGAAGUGACUUUUUUCAGAAACGGCCCACUUAGAGUUGGGCGUGUUUCCACUGACGUGGAGGUAAAGCUUGACAGAAAUUUUCGGAUAAUUACUUUGGACCUGGUUAUUGUACUUGAGUUUCAGAGCCUUGAGUCUCGAUUCAACUUCAUCUAAAGACAACGGUGUUUUGGGUUUUAGGUGGUCGGAUGAAGAAGAUGAAAUGGUAUUUUAAGUGUUUGGACGAUUUUACCCUCCUCUAUUUUGGUUAAAAGUGGUCAAUUUUUUAUUUGGGCGGUCAACUGACGGGCGUUUGGACGGUUUCCGUCCAAAAGGGCCUUCAUUGCAACGAAUGUAAAGGUUGGGGGUGAUGGCUGCAACAAAUCAAAGGUUUGGAGAAAGUUUCCAAAUGUUUUAAAGGUUUGAGGCUUCUGUUGCAAUUUUCCCUUUAUAAAACUAUGACUUACUCUUAGUUGUAGCUUAGUAGAUUUUGUAGGAUUCCAUGUAUUUACUUUUCUAUUAUGCUUUAUGUGUAUAAAUACUCAUAUCAUUAUCAAUGCAAAGGCUUUCGUGUCUUGCCAAGCCAAAUGUUUCUCUCGUUUUGAAUAUCUUUCAUGAAAGAAUUUUAAAAAAAUAUAUAAAAAAAAAUAUUAAAAAAAUCUAGAUAGUUCUUCUUCACAUUCCAA